rnacentral:rRNA from 1 species
AUUGAACGCUGGCGGCAUGCUUUACACAUGCAAGUCGAACGGCAGCGCGGGCUUCGGCCUGGCGGCGAGUGGCGAACGGGUGAGUAAUGCAUCGGAACGUGCCCAGUAGUGGGGGAUAGCCCGGCGAAAGCCGGAUUAAUACCGCAUACGACCUGAGGGUGAAAGCGGGGGACCGAAAGGCCUCGCGCUAUUGGAGCGGCCGAUGUCGGAUUAGCUAGUUGGUGGGGUAAAGGCUUACCAAGGCGACGAUCCGUAGCUGGUCUGAGGGGACGACCAGCCACACUGGGACUGAGACACGGCCCAGACUCCUACGGGAGGCAGCAGUGGGGAAUUUUGGACAAUGGGGGCAACCCUGAUCCAGCCAUGCCGCGUGCGAGAAGAAGGCCUUCGGGUUGUAAACCGCUUUUGUUCGGGAAGAAAUCCUCUGGGCUAAUACCCCGGGGGGAUGACGGUACCGGAAGAAUAAGCACCGGCUAACUACGUG